rfam:Paenibacillaceae bacterium GAS479 genome assembly, chromosome: I
UACAUCCUGCGAUGCUCGUUACGGCUUUAAAUUGUUUUGAACCAAUGGCUGUUUCCCGGGAGUUCAACAUCGACCAGCGGCUGGCAUGCCUUCAUUUUAUGGAGGACCCCAAAUGCUGUUCUGAGGACACCCACCUGCGAGAGCGGGUUCAGGAACAAGCGAGUCGGACGGCAUUGCGGGACUUUA